rnacentral:tRNA from 1 species
GCCGGGAUAGCUCAGUUGGUAAAGCAAAGGACU